rnacentral:rRNA from 1 species
ACUCGAGUGGCGAACGGGUGAGUAACACGUGGGUGAUCUGCCCUGCACUCUGGGAUAAGCCUGGGAAACUGGGUCUAAUACCGGAUAGGACCGCAUGCUUCAUGGUGUGUGGUGCAAAGCUUUUGCGGUGUGGGAUGAGCCCGCGGCCUAUCAGCUUGUUGGUGGGGUAAUGGCCUACCAAGGCGACGACGGGUAGCCGGCCUGAGAGGGUGACCGGCCACACUGGGACUGAGAUACGGCCCAGACUCCUACGGGAGGCAGCAGUGGGGAAUAUUGCACAAUGGGCGCAAGCCUGAUGCAGCGACGCCGCGUGAGGGAUGACGGCCUUCGGGUUGUAAACCUCUUUCAGUAGGGACGAAGCGAAAGUGACGGUACCUACAGAAGAAGGACCGGCCAACUACGUGCCAGCAGCCGCGGUAAUACGUAGGGUCCGAGCGUUGUCCGGAAUUACUG